UACCAAAUCUUUAGUAGUUGAAACAUUGGUAAAAUGUACAAAUUUUUUGUACAUAUUACCAAAAUCCGGUAAAACUGAUGUCAGAUGUAAUGUACAUCCCUACCAGAGAUUCGUACAUUUUACUUCAUGCCAUUUGUAACCUUCAAUGUUUUCAUUCCUAGCGACUGUGAAGUGCGCACUUCGUAAUCGCCAUUUUUUUGUGGAAGCGAAGCAAUUCGGAGAUAUUCCGAAAUAUACUCAUUUUGGACAACGUUUCUUCUAUUCUACUACUGAUAGAAGCAUUUCCAUUUGCGAUCAAUCGUAAACGAACAUUUUACAACAGCCAUGAUUCGAUGCUAAUAUUUGGCGAUACAAACUAGGGAAAGGAAGAACCAAUAACGAUUCACCAUCGGUCCGUGCAAACGGUAUCAAAUGAGCGUAUCUUUUCGUCGACCAACGGCAGCGACCAGCGAAUCAACAAGUGCAGCUGAUUCCAGCACGAAUAGCUCUUCUGUUUCUUCACUGGAGCAUCGAAAAUCCCUAUCAGGCUCAGGUGCAGGCAAGAAUCAAUGAAGGAGGAGCAAGCUACGCUACCGCAAGUAUAGUCAUUUGCUCAUAAAAUUUACAAGAUGUAUCGAAACUCUCCAGGAAAAGUGUCGUUAUUCGUUUUUUCUACAAACUGAUAACCUCUGCGUGAUAAUGAUGUGUCAGGAAGAUCCAAUCAACUGCUUUUCUCAACCGGAGGAUGACAUGGAACAUGAAGAACGUCAGAACCGACUACGUGCUCUGUGCAAUCAUCAGGAUCUGUUCCAGGAGGAGAGUGUUGAAUUUGAUACUGGAAAGCAUCGACAAAAUCAAUGUCAUAUCGUCACUAGGUUUCAUGAUUUCCUCCUGGCUAGUGAUGAAAAAGUUGGGAGUCGAUAUCCGGAUAUCUGUUCCAACUACUAGCGGUUGUCAUCAAGGAAAACUCAGUUUGCUAACUCAAAUCAUUUUAAUUGGAUGAUUUUGUAUGUGUUUUGUUCACUGUGCGUUGGUAAUGGUCGGUAUGGUUGGUUGGUCGGUAAUCCUAAUAUCCUCGUUCAUGGUGUUGAGGAAUCUAGGGUGUACCAGAAAUGUUACUUUGAAAUUACUAUGGACCAUAACGGACAAACGUGCACAAACAUGACACCGCGUUUGCGAAUUAAUUGGGCCAAUACUGCUGAAUAUGUUGAGGAUGUAAAAAUGGGGCGAAAAUGACGUUGGUAAUAAUUUGCAUACUCAUGAUUCCGGACGUGACAAAACUAUUCAUCGCAAAAGGAAUGGAAUUGCAUGCUAGAUCUCAGCGUCUCGGUGAUACGGUUUAUGUUCAAUGGAGAGCCAAUGUAUGUUUGAUUUUAAUCUAACUUGAAUGUUUUUUUUUUUCCGGUGAUGAGCUGCUCGUCGAAGCUAAGUUGUCAAUUUUAUUUUGGUUUCCGCGUUUCUGUCUGCGAUGUUGAACCCUAAGAUGGAAGAAUUCGGCGAUAUGCUGGUCGAGAGCACUCACAACUUGUGAGACAAAGAGCGAAUUCAACAAAGUUAAACAAAGACAACGGAAACCAUCGUAGCUCCCAUUCAGUUCCGUACAGCAUAUACGGCUAUGGCGACUAUCAGAAAGCUGUUGAUCUAUGGAUACAAUUCGGACCAACAAACUGGUGAGACGAAUGAGCCCCUUGCGGCGGAAGCAUUCAGACAGAACUUCGCAACCAUCAGAACGCACCUAGCGGAGAAGACGUAUGCUGUUAUGUCAAGAAAGACAUACUUUUAGUUUGAGGUACGGACUGUGGGACUGAUGAGGCAGGACUGCAAUUCCGAAACGAUGUUGGGGAAUGAUGAUCCAUCGUGUGCUUUUGAUGGCUACAAUAUAAGCAUGAGCACAAAUAUCGAAUCCGAUUGUUCAAUACGAGCAAUCACGACCCCUCAAUCCAAUGUAGUCGUUCUGUUACAAGAAAACAAGCCCCAAAUUCCUACUGAAGACACAUUUCCACUGCCUCAUUAAAUGGGCAAGUAAACUACACCUGCGCAGGGUCGAAGAUUUCGGUAGGCGAUACCUGGUCGGAAACGUAAUCGUUUUCUUCUUAAAUAUCCUCGACAAGAUCAGCACGAGAGGAAUAAAUACGAACUAAGAGUACUGGGUACUGGUGUCAUCGACUUCCUGCUAAUCAGCGCCCCAUUCUCUAGAGACAGCGAUGCAGUAGAAGGAGUUAUUGCGACGAGAAUUAUUGUUGUUUUCAAAUUUUACAUUUUUUUUUAUUGUAGAACUAUUGAAAUUAUAGAAUAAGUUAUUAGUGAAAUAUUAUAUAACAUGUUAUCAAACACAGGAUUUUAAAUAAAACAAAA